rnacentral:misc_RNA from 1 species
GAAAUGCGAUAAGUAAUGUGAAUUGCAGAAUUCAGUGAAUCAUCAAAUCUUUGAACGCACAUUGCGCCCGGCAGCAAUCUGCCGGGCAUGCCUGUCCGAGCGUCAUUUCUGCCCUCGAGCGCGGUUCGGCCCCUAGCGGGCCGGCCGCCGCCCGGUGUUGGGGCGCUGCGGGCCCUCGUGCCCGCAGGCCCUGAAAUGAAGUGGCGGUCCCGCCGCGGCGCCCCCUGCGUAGUAGUAAAGCACCUCGCAUCGGGUCCCGGCGGAGGCCAGCCGUCGAACCUCUCUUUUGAUGGUUUGACCUCGGAUCAGGUAGGGUUACCCGCUGAACUUAAGC